UUCUCCUCUUCUUCCCCAGAUCCGGAAGUGACGUCAGAAGCUCACCUGCCGCUCCAGGCUCUCUGGCAUCAGUUACCGUUCGCAACAAAAAGGCUGAGAAUCGCCCCCGGAGCAAGAAGGACACGAAGGGGAAGGACACCUCCCGAGGGACUCCUGCAGAAGAAGUCCCCAGAAGUCCGCUGCGUGAAACAUGGUGGCUCCUCCGCCGCCGAGAACCGCAAGGACGAACUAGGCCGAGACGGAUAAGUGAGGCUGGGGUCCCCGUGGCAGAAUGCGCCUGUUCAAGCGACGUAGCAGCGACCCCGCCCCCCGCCUCGUGUCCCUCUCCCCUCUCACCUCCGAGUACGCCCACAUCCCCGCCCACGCUCCUGGGGAUGCCUUCGUGGAC